rnacentral:rRNA from 1 species
UUCGUAGGGUGCAAGCGUUGUCCGGGAUUAUUGGGCGUAAAGAGCUUGUAGGCGGUCUGUCGCGUCUGCUGUGAAAAUCCGGGGCUCAACCCCGGACUUGCAGUGGGUACGGGCAGACUAGAGUGUGGUAGGGGAGACUGGAAUUCCUGGUGUAGCGGUGAAAUGCGCAGAUAUCAGGAGGAACACCGAUGGCGAAGGCAGGUCUCUGGGCCGAUACUGACGCUGAGGAGCGAAAGCGUGGGGAGCGAACAGG